CGCGGCCUAUCAGCUUGUUGGUGAGGUAACGGCUCACCAAGGCGACGACGGGUAGCCGGCCUGAGAGGGCGACCGGCCACACUGGGACUGAGACACGGCCCAGACUCCUACGGGAGGCAGCAGUGGGGAAUAUUGCACAAUGGGCGAAAGCCUGAUGCAGCGACGCCGCGUGAGGGAUGACGGCCUUCGGGUUGUAAACCUCUUUCAGCAGGGAAGAAGCGAAAGUGACGGUACCUGCAGAAGAAGCGCCGGCUAACUACGUGCCAGCAGCCGCGGUAAUACGUAGGGCGCAAGCGUUGUCCGGAAUUAUUGGGCGUAAAGAGCUCGUAGGCGGCUUGUCACGUCGGUUGUGAAAGCCCGGGGCUUAACCCCGGGUCUGCAGUCGAUACGGGCAGGCUAGAGUUCGGUAGGGGAGAUCGGAAUUCCUGGUGUAGCGGUGAAAUGCGCAGAUAUCAGGAGGAACACCGGUGGCGAAGGCGGAUCUCUGGGCCGAUACUGACGCUGAGGAGCGAAAGCGUGGGGAGCGAACAGGAUUAGAUACCCUGGUAGUCCACGCCGUAAACGGUGGGCACUAGGUGUGGGCGACAUUCCACGUCGUCCGUGCCACAGCUAACGCAUUAAGUGCCCCGCCUGGGGAGUACGG
rnacentral:rRNA from 1 species